AUGAAUUUCCUAAUUUGGAACUGCCGGGGUGGGGGUAACUCCCAGACAGUUCAUGAGCUAGCGACGUUAGUUCAGUCGCAUUCCCCCAAGUUCGUGUUUUUAUGUGAAACAAGACAGAAAGAGGAAAAGAUGAAGAGGCUGAGGAGUCGUUUGGGACUUCGUGGAUUUUCUUAUGUUGAUAGUAACGGUCUUAGUGGAGGUUUAGCUUUGUACUGGCAUGAAUAG
rnacentral:rRNA from 1 species